rnacentral:lncRNA from 10 species
CCGGCUUCGUAGCGCCUUCGGUCUCCGACUUCCCAGACUUCCCAGUCUGCGCAGGCGUACUUGGAGCCGAAGGGAACUACCAAGAAAGUACCAAAGGAAAGGAAACGUCUAACAGACGAGGAACUGGAAGGGGAAUAAGUGGGAAAGAAGCAAAGAGGCACGGCUUUCUCCAUGUUGGUCAGACUGGUCUCUAACUCCAGACCUCAGAUGAUCCACCCGCCUCGGCCUCCCAAAAUGCUGGAAUUACAGGCGUGAGCCACCGCACCCAGCCAACAUUUAUUUUUUUAAAAAAGAUCUUGUCAAUUCUAGCUCACAUUGUUUAUUAGGCAACAGAAAGUUGUUCAAAGACAGUCGUUGCAAAUGUUACCAUGUGUUACAUAAAAGAAAUUUCAGAAAAUGUGCUUUUGCAGUUGAAAAGGAUUUAUUCUUCCCCUUGGAGGAAUGAAUUAGGGACUCAAGAACUGCAAGCAACAGAGGCCAACCCCCAGCCUGGAGACUCUGGCCUGGGCUUCUUGCAACCCUAUGCCCCGCCACAAUACGGGCCACCAUGCUAGCUUGCUCACGUUGAGACUACCAGUCUCCAUGUUUUAAAUUAGUCAUUUUUCUUCCUUUUGGUGAGUUCUGUAAGGUUCAAUAAGUAACCUCUCAUCAAUAUUUAUUGCUGGAGAAAGAACUGAAAACUGUGAGUUUGCAUCAAACAAACACUACUGUGUAUAGUAGCAGUGCUGCAAGAAGUAGAACAAGAGCUAUCUGGACAUUCAUCCACAGAGAGUUUGAUUGAUUUGCUGGCUGGGAGAUGAGGGCAUUCCUUGUGAUUGCUUCUGUUUAUGCCAGUGGAGACAAAGUGGUCAGCUGAUGGUGAGGGAAGGAAAGGGAGUAUAGACAGUUUGAGGAGAGAGGACAAUGUGUGAUAUAGCCUCUUUUAGACAGUGGGAAAGGAAACAUCAUAGGAAAUUUCCUCCCAGGGAAUAUUUAAUGAUCCUUUGAGAUUUGUAUAUGUGAAUUCAAUCAGCAUGGUUGAGGCUGUUUUUUAUUUUGUUUCAGGAAUGCUCAGCUUUGUGGUGCAAACACAAAGUAGAAGAGAGCGGGGCUUAACUAGGGAUUAGAGCAUUGCUAGGAGAGUCCAAUAGUGGGAUCAAGCAUCAGGAGAAUGAUUCUAAUGAAGGACCAUGGGUUCUAAGCUGAAUAAGGGGAGAAGGGAGGAACUGAGUCAGGUAAUCUGUAGUGGAAAGUGGAAGUCAGUUGAUUGGAAUACACUAGUCAAGCAGUUGCUCUAGUGCACUCAAGUGAGUGGGCUGGAAGGCUAGUAAGGGAGGGGUGGAGUGUGAGAGAGGGGGAGGUUCCAAGCUGAGAUUGGGAUGCUGUGCAGAACCAAGGAUAUCAAGGUCAUUAAUAUAGCCACAAGAAUGAGAGAUAAAGACAACUGAGUAAAAGCCAAGUCAAACAAGCAAUUUUUGGCGUUAUCUAGUCUCUUCUCUGCACAUUGGUCUCCAAUAUGUAACUAUUUUACCGUUGCAUGGUAACAGGAGACUUGGCAGUUCUCAGAGGACUUACCUUCCUGUUUAUGAAAGAGCGGUGAACUCAGAGGUUAUCACUGGUAGGUAGAUGGUUAACACACAGUAAAUAGACCUAUAAUUUAGAUGGGAGUGAUCAUAGGACAAAGGCUAAAUGUGACUUGGAAGGCUGCAAACAAUAAAGGUGGCAAAAAAGGAGUAGUGUUGAAUGGUUUUGACUCAUGAUGAAGGAAACUCAAUAGUAGGAAAGAGGAACUGGAUUAAGCCAAUUCAACCUAAUUCUUCGGGGUUAUAAGUCAAGGACAAAUAAACCUGCAUACCCUUUUAUUUACUCCUUUAUCUCCACAAAAGGGAAUAUUUUCACUUGAAGUAAAUCAAGCUAUAGUGAAUAUCCACAGUAGCCUUGAAGAGGAAAGCAAGGAUAACAAAACAAAGGUGGAUAGUAUAUGAAAGCUUCAGAACCUCUUUCUUCCAGUAGGUUUAACAUGAGGCACCAAAUAACAGAAAACUGCAAAUAAAUUAGGGGGAAGCAGCACUGAGUUCAGGUGCAGAGUUUAAUUUCAAUCUCUUUCAAAUCCCAG